AAUUUACCUGUGCAAUAAAUUGCAUUUUAAUAUUUGCAAUAUAAUCAUCCAGGAAAAGAUAACUGCGUAUUAGAAAAGAAUAUGGUUAAUCAAUCAAUAUUGUCUAUUAUAUGAUUUGAAUACGACAAGCUGUUACCAAAAAUGUCUUUUUAUUGACGAACUGAUAACAUAAGCGACACGCAUACAGAAAUGAGAACAGUUUUUACAUCAUUUCUUAAAUUAAUUACACAUUUUUAAAACAGUCUUGAUGUUGCAAGACGAAUAAUGGAUAAAACUUUUAUAUCCUGGACUAAGAAAAUGACGGAUUAUCCCUUUUAAGUUAAAAGUGAACAUUUUGUGAAUCAACUGUACAGG
rnacentral:lncRNA from 1 species